rnacentral:rRNA from 1 species
CCUACGGGAGGCAGCAGUGAGGAAUAUUGCACAAUGGGGGAAACCCUGAUGCAGCGACGCCGCGUGAGUGAAGAAGUAUCUCGGUACGUAAAGCUCUAUCAGCAGGGAAGAAAAUUACGGUACCUGACUAAUAAGCCCCGGCUAACUACGUGCCAGCAGCCGCGGUAAUACGAAGGGGGCAAGCGUUAUCCGGAUUUACUGGGUGUAAAGGGAGCGUAGACGGCUGCACAAGUCUGGAGUGAAAUCCCGGGGGUUAACCCCGGAACUGCUUUGGAAACUAGGAGGCUGGAGUGCAGGAGAGGUAAGCGGAAUUCCUAGUGUAGCGGUGAAAUGCGUAGAUAUUAGGAGGAACACCGGUGGCGAAGGCAGCUUACUGGACUGUAACUGACGUUGAGGCUCGAAAGCGUGGGGAGCAAACAGGAUUAGAUACCCCUGUAGUC